UCCAGUGGGCUUUAGCCGGAGACGUCAGAGCUCGUCCCCCCUGGAAAGGAAGCCCAACGCGUCUCGAGCUGAGUGCGCCGCAAAAACGGAGCCAGCUCAACUCAAAGGCCAACUUAGGAACCUGAACUCUGAGCUGUCGCCUGAACAGGGGCUGCCGGUUACAUCCAGCCCCAGGCAGCCAAGCUGACAUCUAGCUGUGCUGGGAACUCCCCACGCUCGGCUCUCAGCAUGGAGCAUGAGCGCAGAGCUGGUGGAGGGAGGCUGGGACGGCUCAGAGAGACGUGUUCCUGCACUCGCGAACCCCACAACCCCCUCCGUCUUCCCCCUGGUUCCCUGCUGCAGCAAGACUGGCAAUGCUCCCACGGACAGCAGCUUGGCCUGCCUCGUAACUGGCUAUUUGCCAUCACCAGUGGACAUCAAGUGGAAUUCUGGCAAAGUGACCAAGGGGGUCAAAACUUUCCCAGAGAUGAUGAUGAGCAAUGGGCUCCACACCCAGAGCAGUCUGCUGAGCCCCUCUGACGGUUCCCAGCAGGGCGUCCCCUACCAGUGCGACGUGAUGCAUCAAGGCACAGCAAAGACAGUGUCGAAGAAGUUCCCUCAGGAAUUGUGUGGUUUGAUGAUGCCACCCCAGGUUCACCUCCUGAUCCCCACCUGCGAGGACAGCGCCACAGAGAGCCAGCUGGAGCUGGUUUGCCUCCUCCUGAACUUCAGACCCGGCAAAGCCGACGUGAAAUGGCUGGUGAAUGGAAAGGAGAGGAGCCCUUCCACCCUGGCCUUUUCCUCUGCAAUGGGCACAGAUGGCUCCUACAUGGGGCAGAGCCGCAUGAACAUCACCAGGCAGAGCUGGGAGACAGGGGAUGUCUACACCUGUCAAGUAACCCACCCAGCAGUGGGAACAGAGCUCUCCAUGCACAACACCAGCAAGUGCUUGGCCUGCCUCAGAAGUUCACUUGACCCAGUCAUCUACUUAACCAAACCCUCCUAUGAAGACGUCAUCAAAAAUUCUGGUCAUGUUACCUGUCUAGUUUUGGGUUAUGACUUAGCAGCCAGCAGAAUUGCAUGGAAAGUGGAUGGGCAAAUCAGCUCUGUGGCGAAGACAGAACCCCCCCAAAAAAACAACAAUGGGACCACCAGCCUGGUCAGUUCUCACCCUGUGUCACUGGUCCAAUGGGGACAAGGCGCCAAAUUUACCUGCAAAGUGACCACACCCUGUUCUGGAGAACUAACCCAGGACAUAACCAUGAGCAAUACAGGCAUUCGUAAGAAGGAGCCCUCAGUCACCGUCUCCCGAGCCUACCACGAAGACAUCUCUGGGAACAGUGUCUCCUUUACUCUCAUCUGCGAAGCUAGUGGCUUUUACCCUGAAGAGAUCAGCAUGUCAUGGUUGAAGAAUAACUCCCCGGAACUCAAGUCCAGUUACAACAACGGCCCUAUGUCAGGAAGUGGCACUUUCUCUGCCUACAGUGUCCUGAAGGUUGAGCAAAGUCAAGGAGAAGGAAAUUACACCUGCGUGGUGCAUCACCCAGCCAUGGAAGAGCCCAAAAGGGUUGUGGAAAAGGUGUCCCUCGGUGUCAGCAACUGUAAUCAACACCCUCUGGAGGUCUCUCUCCUUCCCCCUUCUCUGGAGGACCUCUACAUAGGGCAGAACGCCACCAUCAGUUGUUUGGUGAGUGGCAUGGAGACCCCCGGCAGCCUGGAGGUCUCCUGGAACCGGGGUAGUGGGAGCCCGUUGGCCGUGGUCUCCAGGGAGCCGGUGCUGCAGGAAGAUGGCACCUACAGUGCAACCAGCAUCCUGCGGGUGUGCGUGGAGGAGUGGCAGGCGGGGGAGGAGUUCACCUGCACCGUGAAGCACCAAGACAUCCCGUCGGCCAUUGUCAAGAGCAUCCGCAAGAGUCACAUGGUUUCCCUCCAGGCCCCUUCUGUCUACAUCUCCCCUCCUCACGCUGAGGAGCUGGCUCUCCGGGAAUCGGCCACCAUCACCUGCCUGGCCUCCGGCUUCCGGCCCAGAGACAUCUUGGUGACAUGGACCCAGCAGGACCGGCCUGUGCCCCAGGAAACCUACACCAACAUCGGCCCCGUCCGGGAGGCUGGGAAGGAGGAGCGCUACUUCAUCUACAGCAAGCUCAAUGUCUUGGCAUCUGAAUGGGAACGGGGGGACACGUACGCCUGCGUUGUGGGGCACGAGGGUCUGCCCAUGACCUUCAUCCACCGGAGCGUGGACAAAGCCUCUGCUCCUCACUGCCUGGUGGAGGACCAAGGCGUCUCUGCUGAAGGAGGAGAGGAGGAAUCUGACAGUCUCUGGACCCCUGUUGCCUUCAUCGCUCUCUUCCUGCUCAGCCUGUUGUACAGCGCCGGCGUCACGCUGCUUAAGGUGCGGUGAGUGCCCGGCUCUGGGCUUCUAGGAGGUGGACAGCACUGCUUCAUCCUCUUCAUUCCCUUCCUCCAUCUUCAGCCCUCCCGGGCUCCUGUCCUCUCCGGACACCUGGAGGGACCAUGUUCCUCAGCAGCACGACAACAGCCGCUGAAGGGUCUGAGCUCCGCAGAACCCAGAGCAGGGAGGGCAGAGUCCUUCCCCAGACGUCCCCGUGGGGCAGCCCAUGCUGGAGGUUGAGCUCAGCGCCGUGCCCCUCAAUCCUCCACCCCCAUCCCACGGCAGGGACUGGAUUUCCGUGUGUGUGUGUGUGUGUGUGUGUGUAUGUGCAGGUCUGUAGUGUCCUGAGGUCUGGUCAACGUGGACUGGCAAGAAAAAAGAGUCUCAUUUGCUCCAUUGUUUAACUUGCAACUUUCACAGGAAUUUUGUGUUUGAUCCAAAAUAAAAGGAGUUAAAAAUUGGUAGCUGCAUUUCUGGGUGGUUUUGGGGGAUUUAACCAAGGAGAACGCUACCCACUGUAUGACUCAGUCCCCAGUGUCUAUCUACGCAUCUGUCCAUUCUGAUACAUACACAUCUUUCUUUCUUUCUCUCUUUCUUUCUUUC